UACGUAGGGGGCAAGCGUUGUCCGGAAUCAUUGGGCGUAAAGAGCGUGUAGGUGGCCCGGUCAGUCCGCCGUGAAAGUCCAGGGCUCAACCCUGGAAUGCCGGUGGAUACUGCCGGCUGGAGUCCGGAAGAGGCGAGUGGAAUUCCUGGUGUAGCGGUGGAAUGCGCAGAUAUCAGGAGGAACACCAAUAGCGAAGGCAGCUCGCUGGGACGGUACUGACGCUAAGCGCGAAAGCGUGGGGAGCGAACAGG
rnacentral:rRNA from 1 species